GACGAACGCUGGCGGCGUGCUUAACACAUGCAAGUCGAGCGGUAAGGCCCUUUCGGGGGUACACGAGCGGCGAACGGGUGAGUAACACGUGGGUGACCUGCCCUCAGCUCUGGGAUAAGCCUGGGAAACCGGGUCUAAUACCGGAUAUGACUCCAUGACGCAUGUUGUGGGGUGGAAAGCCUUGGGCGGCUGAGGAUGGGCCCGNGGCCUAUCAGCUUGUUGGUGGGGUGAUGGCCACCAAGGCGACGACGGGUAGCCGGCCUGAGAGGGCGACCGGCCACACUGGGGACUGAGACACGGCCCAGACUCCUACGGGA
rnacentral:rRNA from 1 species